ACCAGUCACUGACCAACUUCUGCCCGGAAAGCAUGCAUUUGAGACACAGAGCUCAUUACCUAGACCCAUCCCUCCCAGCAUAGGAACUUUAGUGGAGGAGGAUGGAUCCUCCCCCACCAAAGAAGCUUUGCCUUCUAGAGAGCAGCAGUGAGCCCAAGCCAAUGGACGUAGUAGCCAAUGGACCAGAGAGCAACGUCGAGCCCACGGAGAUGGACGUACCUCCAGAGGAUGAACCAAUGGAGGUGGAUCCACCUCCAUCAAGCCCGGGCAAGUACUAUAACAUCAUGCUUGCCUGGAGACGUCACUAUAUCUGCUGGUGGCGCAGCAGGAGCUCUCGAUUUCCAUCUCGGCAUUGAAGAGUCACCAUCCACCAGAGAGCCCCAGGGCCAGCUGCUGCUCUCUAGAACCCCUUCUUCCCCAUCCCCCAUCCCAAGACCUCUCACCUCUUCUUUCCCGAGCUCUGAGGAAAAGGGAAGAACAGAGACUAGUGUCCUCUAUGCUUCUGCACUGGGACAAUGGGAGGAGUCCAGUGGACAGCCACAAGCUCCUUGAAGCCUCCAGGUAAGGAGAUACGAUUGAAAGAUGGUGAGAUAGAGCACUAAGCCACCAAGCCUGAGUGCCUCCUGGUGAAACAGUUUUGGCAGAAGAAUGCUGAGGAAACUACUCACAGUCAGAAAGCUGAACCCAUCCUAUAAAGCACUAUCAGUGGUGUCAUUCAGCUCCUUAAACUCCACAAAGCAAAUCUGCCCUGUGCAGUGAAAGAUGGCACAGAGCAUCUGCUGCAGCAACUGACAGGAAACAUUGCAGCCUUAUGAGCAGAUAAGCUGCUGAUUACACCAAAAUUAACCUCCUUUUGGUCCUUCUCUGUCUCGAUGUCAGUGACUAACAAGGUAAAAUCCUAUGUUGCUUGUUAAAUACUAAGUUUUUAUUUUCCACAUUACAGUUUUACCCGCCCAAGUAUAUUUUUUGAGAUUUAAAACAGGGUUUUUGUGCAAUGUGUUUGUGUGCACAGAGAAUUAGCACUGAGAUGGAGUAAGAAGCAAAGUCAGAACAAUCAAAAAGCCAAAUUAAGAUGUUAAGUUGAAUAGACAAGAUCAUAUGACUUGUUUCUUUUUUUCCAGCUGACCAUAUCUCUCUCAGGCCAUCUUUGCAGAUUAGCACCUGGAAGGAGCAUCCUGAGGAAAAUGCAAACGAAGGCAGAAAGAAUAUACAAAAAUGAGUGACACCAAAAUCUAGAUGCAGUUCUGCAGCCCUUCUCUAGGUCCUCAAUGCGCAAUCUGCGUUUAGAGUUUGUAAGAGAAACAUCUCCAAGCAUCAGCAAUGUUAUUUCCAUGACCAGCUGAAGGCUUCUCAGCAGGUUAGGCAAAAUGGAUGUUUGCAGUGGCAACGGAGCAGAGUACUGCCUGGCACUGUACCUCCCCUUCCUGUGGCAUCUCAUGGGCUGACACAUACGCUGCCACUAGGUACCAUUAAGAGGAAGAGGUACCAAUAAACCCGUUGUAUUACAGGGAGGCACAGUGAAAGAAGACCAGAACGUUUUGCGCGUAAGCUUUUGGGAUGGAAAUAACAAGCCUGGCAGAAUUUUCAAAAGGAGGUGGAAACUGGAUUCCUAUCCCAAGAGGCUUUUGUCAAAUAGGUACUUUCAAAAAUCCCAUCAGACACUCAAUUUUAAUGUUAAAUGCCUGAACUCGGUCCAGAGACUGUCCCAUCUGUUUCUAUGAAAUCUGCACAAACGUCUGCAGUAGAUCAGGUACUAAGAAAACGCUUAAUAUGCACCACCAAGAAUGAAGCCUUGCUGAGUGAACAGCCUUACAAGCUUACAUUUUGGACUGAUUCUCCACUCCAUUUAUAAUCUUCAUACAGAAGAGAUGAGUAGGAAAAACUUUGUUUAGGCGCACACAAGUCUCAAAAUGAGCCCUAUUUCUGCUAAACUGUGCUGUUUGUACCCGUUGCUUGCCUACAGUCUUUACAGUCUAAGUAAAAUGCUCCAUGCUGAAAUAUUUUCCCUACUUCAUUUUAACUAACAGACCCCUUGCUCUCAUAUUAGAGAGCAAUGUUAAUUUGGGGAGGGGAUUAAUUUUCAUGUUAUCUUUCUUAAACACCUCACUUACAUACUCUCCCGACCUUUCUCUUUCCAAACUAAACAAUUCUCACUUUUGCACUCUAUCCUCAGAUGUAAACCCCACCCAGCCUUCUAACCAUCUCAUGACAUGCUUUUGGUGGACUUCCAAACCAAAGAGGUUUCCAAACUGAACCUCCAAAAUGUUUGAGGUUUCCCCAUCUCUGUAUAGUACUUUCCAAGAGCACACUCCCAUUGAUUCUGGAGGCAGCCUUGAAUCACAACUAACCAUAAUGCAGUCAGGAACAAGUCUGGCUACUUUUUAAUGAGGAAAUGUGCUCUUGGGAAGUAUCGUGCAGUGAUGGGCAAACCUCAAACACAUUGGUGGUUCUGCUCAUAAACCUCUUUGAUCUAGGAGUCGCACCCAAUGGCAAAAAAUUGAUGACCGUGCAUGCACAAAAGCAUGCCAGCCAUGACAGGAGAGAGCUAUUAUCAUGGUGGGCAGGCAGUGUAGUCCCCACUGUGCACCCAGGCCGCUGACUGGAGCAGUCCUAAGUUUUAACAAGAAAAAAAUUAAGAACAAUAAGAGGAAAAAUAACCCGAAAGUAUGCAAUUCAAGUUAACAGUCAUCCCUCUCCAUCCCAUAAACUCCCACUGCAGUCAUAUCUAGUAGAGCCAGUUCUAAUGUUGCUUUCAAAUUUGCAGCUGCAGAGAGCCCUGGCCAAGCCAGGUCCAAAUAAUAACGUAGCCUUUACUGCUCAUUGUCCCGCAGUGACAGAAAAACCAAGCUCUGCUGCGAUGCACCGCCCUUUUUGCUGUUAAUCGAAACUGGAAGACUUGAGCACUAGAAAUGCAAAUUUUGCUACUUGUGCAUGUCACAGUUGUCCUAUUGGGACAAGCACAUCUAAACAUGUUCGUAAUAGCCUCAGGUUCAGGACUAAUUUUUUAGUACAAACUGCAGAGCCUCAUGUCUUCUACAUCAAAGACCUGCAGUGUUAGAUACGUGGUAACCAAUACUGGAUAAACAGAGAACUCAAGCUAAGACACAGAAAACAAAGUGAGGAACCAAGCGCUGUUUGUACAUGCCUGUCUGUCCGUCUGCCUCUUCUCAAAGUCCUGCAGUUGGACACCGCUGUGAUUUUCCUUCCUGCUGUAUUUUAUUGUGCUACAAACAACUUCAAACUGAAAGAUAUUACCCAUCUCUUAGUCUUUUGUUAUACUAGACAACACCGGGCUCUGCUGGCUGGUUUUCCCCAGUCUUCUUGGCCCCUUUUUUACAUCUCUGUCCCCAGAUAAACUUAAGUGUAUUAGAUGCAUCUACCUGGGAGUUUCAGUGCAUUGUCAAAGCACUGUUAAGAGGUUAAAACAAAAUUGUCCCUUUUUUUCUUAAGAAGCCAAGAAAACAAAGCAUGGCAGUUCCAUUGUUAUGGAUUGUGCAGUAGUAUAGCAACAGCAUUAGAAGAGGUCAGAAUAGGGUCAAGUACCUGCACUCUCCAGAAAGGAGGAGAAGAGAGUUAGUCCUAAACCUGUUAGAAUGAUUCCGAGCAAGUGUGAGCAACCAUACUAUUGUGAAGUCCAACUGAGUAAUAUCUUAUUUCUAAUUUUAACAUUCAAGAGAGACUUUUAUUUGGCCUGGCUUGGCCAGAGAGCCAUUGGCAGUUGCCUAUGGCUCUAAUGCUAGUACACCAGGAAUUCAGGGUGGCAUCCUUUGUCUCGUCGCACCAAUGAGGAUGUGUUGUUUCUCAGCAAACUCUCACCUCCUUUCUGCCUCUGAAAGCCACUGACCAGGGACUCAUGGGCUAAGUUCCUGCGCUCUGUAGGCUCUUGUAACUUCAUAUUGUCUUCUCAUCCCUGUCACAUAGCUAGAGCAGGCAGUAACAAAACAGAAGUAACUGUACAUUACAGUUUUACCUCGGUUAGCUAUAGUAACCUUAACUCAGUAUCAGCAGUUGCCAUGAGGAUAUUGCUCUAGAAAGGCCUGGUGAGGAUAGGAAGCUAUACCUCCUGUUUGCAAACUUUUUAGGAGCUAGGAAGAUUUCCAGAGGCAACAGCCACUUAUCUGCCCCAGAUAAAAAGUUCGCAGUGCUUCAAUGGCAGAGCUCAGAUAAACAUCUCUAAACACAACCCAACCUUUUGAUCACGGGUGUUCAGAUAAGAUAACCCCAAGUGCAUUAGCGAGAUGAGACUGAAUCAGCCUUGAAAUUAGAGAUAUAAAAGACUGACCUAAUUUCUCCACUCUUAUCCCUCCGCCCCGCCUCCUGCCCAAAUGUUAAUCAAGUUAUAUAGUCUAAUGUUUCCCAGCACUUUAAUGUAUUUGUUUUAAAUAAAACAAACUCUUAAGAGGAUCCGCAGUCCUCUCUCUCCAGAUCUUUCAGAUUGCAUCUCAUGUGUUGCACUCUGUGCUUCCUCUUCCCUUUUAAGGCUGUCAUAUAUUUUAUCUCCUUCACACUUCCUUGUGUCCACACUCAACCAAAUUCUCCAGUACAUCCUUUCUUUUUAAUAAUUCCCCCUCCCAUCUUUUUUAUCUUCCUCAUUUGAUUAUUUUUAAGUCUGUUUAAUCCCUACCAACUCACUCGUAUCUUCCAUCCAAUUGGGACACACACAACUGUACAUAAUGCCCCAAGUUACAUGAUGCCAAUGCCGUCUUAGCAAAAACCACAAUUGUUUAUUUAAUAUCUGAUUUUCUGUCUCCCCGUUACUUACAGGUCACGUCUAAUAAUACUGCUUCCCAAAUCUCUGUCUGAUUAAGUACUUGUAUUUUCCUUUAGACAUAUUAGCUACAUUUUUCUAAACUGAAUCAUGUUUGUUUUCUUCUUAUUAUGGUACUAAUCUCUUGAGGCUUCUUUUGAACAAGUGGAUGGAAAGAGCUUUUUUUCCUUUAUUAUUGCACAAGAGGGUUUUAUGUCUGUGGAUGUGUCAUAAUAAAAUGGUUUUGGUACCAGCAAACCUAAUUCCCCUUGUUAUUAAACCAUAACACACUUCAGGACAACUUAGUCAUUGUGGAAUAACACCACGUAUACCUGGCAGGAAGUGCUGCAGUAAGAGAAAGUAGGCUGGAGAUAGACAGAGAGGAACGA